rnacentral:rRNA from 1 species
UUAAGCGACUAAGCGUACACGGUGGAUGCCCUGGCAGUCAGAGGCGAUGAAGGGCGUGCUAAUCUGCGAUAAGCGCCGGUAAGGUGAUAUGAACCGUUAUAACCGGCGAUACCCGAAUGGGGAAACCCAGUGUGAUUCGUCACACUAUCAUUAACUGAAUCCAUAGGUUAAUGAGGCGAACCGGGGGAACUGAAACAUCUAAGUACCCCGAGGAAAAGAAAUCAACCGAGAUUCCCCCAGUAGCGGCGAGCGAACGGGGAGGAGCCCAGAGCCUGAAUCAGCAUGUGUGUUAGUGGAAGCGUCUGGAAAGGCGCGCGAUACAGGGUGACAGCCCCGUACACAAAAGCGCAUGUGCUGUGAGCUCGAUGAGUAGGGCGGGACACGUGGUAUCCUGUCUGAAUAUGGGGGGGCCAUCCUCCAAGGCUAAAUACUCCUGACUGACCGAUAGUGAACCAGUACCGUGAGGGAAAGGCGAAAAGAACCCCGGCGAGGGGAGUGAAAAAGAACCUGAAACCGUGUACGUACAAGCAGUGGGAGCCCCACCACUAAGCCAGUGGUGAACUCCACAUACGCAUCCUUUGCUGAGGAUACGGUUAACGGAGCGAAAGCGACGUUCAACCGCAAAAGAAGCAGAGGGGGCUUAGUGGUGGGGUGACUGCGUACCUUUUGUAUAAUGGGUCAGCGACUUAUAUUCUGUAGCAAGGUUAACCGUAUAGGGGAGCCGGAGGGAAACCGAGUCUUAAUUGGGCGUUAAGUUGCAGGGUAUAGACCCGAAACCCGGUGAUCUAGCCAUGGGCAGGUUGAAGGUUGGGUAACACUAACUGGAGGACCGAACCGACUAAUGUUGAAAAAUUAGCGGAUGACCUGUGGCUGGGGGUGAAAGGCCAAUCAAACCGGGAGAUAGCUGGUUCUCCCCGAAAGCUAUUUAGGUAGCGCCUCGUGAAUUCAUCUCCGGGGGUAGAGCACUGUUUCGGCUAGGGGGCCAUCCCGGCUUACCAACCCGAUGCAAACUGCGAAUACCGGAGAAUGUUAUCACGGGAGACACACGGCGGGUGCUAACGUCCGUCGUGAAGAGGGAAACAACCCAGACCGCCAGCUAAGGUCCCAAAGUCAUGGUUAAGUGGGAAACGAUGUGGGAAGGCCCAGACAGCCAGGAUGUUGGCUUAGAAGCAGCCAUCAUUUAAAGAAAGCGUAAUAGCUCACUGGUCGAGUCGGCCUGCGCGGAAGAUGUAACGGGGCUAAACCAUGCACCGAAGCUGCGGCAGCGACACUGUGUGUUGUUGGGUAGGGGAGCGUUCUGUAAGCCUGUGAAGGUGGCCUGUGAGGGUUGCUGGAGGUAUCAGAAGUGCGAAUGCUGACAUAAGUAACGAUAAAGCGGGUGAAAAGCCCGCUCGCCGGAAGACCAAGGGUUCCUGUCCAACGUUAAUCGGGGCAGGGUGAGUCGACCCCUAAGGCGAGGCCGAAAGGCGUAGUCGAUGGGAAACGGGUUAAUAUUCCCGUACUUGGUGUUACUGCGAAGGGGGGACGGAGAAGGCUAUGUUGGCCGGGCGACGGUUGUCCCGGUUUAAGCGUGUAGGUGUGUGUUCCAGGUAAAUCCGGUUCACUUUAACACUGAGGCGUGAUGACGAGGCACUACGGUGCUGAAGCAACAAAUGCCCUGCUUCCAGGAAAAGCCUCUAAGCAUCAGGUAACAUCAAAUCGUACCCCAAACCGACACAGGUGGUCAGGUAGAGAAUACCAAGGCGCUUGAGAGAACUCGGGUGAAGGAACUAGGCAAAAUGGUGCCGUAACUUCGGGAGAAGGCACGCUGACACGUAGGUGAAGUGAUUUACUCACGGAGCUGAAGUCAGUCGAAGAUACCAGCUGGCUGCAACUGUUUAUUAAAAACACAGCACUGUGCAAACACGAAAGUGGACGUAUACGGUGUGACGCCUGCCCGGUGCCGGAAGGUUAAUUGAUGGGGUCAGCGCAAGCGAAGCUCCUGAUCGAAGCCCCGGUAAACGGCGGCCGUAACUAUAACGGUCCUAAGGUAGCGAAAUUCCUUGUCGGGUAAGUUCCGACCUGCACGAAUGGCGUAAUGAUGGCCAGGCUGUCUCCACCCGAGACUCAGUGAAAUUGAACUCGCUGUGAAGAUGCAGUGUACCCGCGGCAAGACGGAAAGACCCCGUGAACCUUUACUAUAGCUUGACACUGAACAUUGAGCCUUGAUGUGUAGGAUAGGUGGGAGGCUUUGAAGUGUGGACGCCAGUCUGCAUGGAGCCGGCCUUGAAAUACCACCCUUUAAUGUUUGAUGUUCUAACGUGGACCCGUUACCCGGGUUGCGGACAGUGUCUGGUGGGUAGUUUGACUGGGGCGGUCUCCUCCUAAAGAGUAACGGAGGAGCACGAAGGUUGGCUAAUCCUGGUCGGACAUCAGGAGGUUAGUGCAAUGGCAUAAGCCAGCUUGACUGCGAGCGUGACGGCGCGAGCAGGUGCGAAAGCAGGUCAUAGUGAUCCGGUGGUUCUGAAUGGAAGGGCCAUCGCUCAACGGAUAAAAGGUACUCCGGGGAUAACAGGCUGAUACCGCCCAAGAGUUCAUAUCGACGGCGGUGUUUGGCACCUCGAUGUCGGCUCAUCACAUCCUGGGGCUGAAGUAGGUCCCAAGGGUAUGGCUGUUCGCCAUUUAAAGUGGUACGCGAGCUGGGUUUAGAACGUCGUGAGACAGUUCGGUCCCUAUCUGCCGUGGGCGCUGGAGAACUGAGGGGGGCUGCUCCUAGUACGAGAGGACCGGAGUGGACGCAUCACUGGUGUUCGGGUUGUCAUGCCAAUGGCACUGCCCGGUAGCUAAAUGCGGAAGAGAUAAGUGCUGAAAGCAUCUAAGCACGAAACUUGCCCCGAGAUGAGUUCUCCCUGAGACUUAGAGUCUCCUGAAGGAACGUUGAAGACGACGACGUUGAUAGGCCGGGUGUGUAAGCGCAGCGAUGCGUUGAGCUAACCGGUACUAAUGAACCGUGAGGCUUAACCUU